AUAAUAAUAGAAUGGAAGUCGCUCUGGAUAAGAGCGUCUGCUAAAUGACUUAAA
rfam:Salmo salar isolate Sally breed double haploid chromosome ssa11, whole genome shotgun sequence.